CCUGAUUCAACACUCUGGGAUUGCCAUCUUGAAACUCUUAACCAAUUUUUAACAAGCAGUUGUCUUAUACUUUCUUUUUGUACUGGGCUCUGCUUGUCCAUUGUAGACCCUAUGUUGAAGAAGCUUGACUAAGCCAAGAAAGGGAAAAAAGACAGAAGACAGCAUGGACUCUUCUACUUCAUUAUUGAGGACUGAGGAUAAAAGUUCAAGAAGCCAAAACAUCUACCUUCCGAGAGUCAAAGCCCAGCAGAAACCAAGUCUCAAAGGAGCUUACUUCAGAUUCCCUACUUCCAGAGCUCAUGCUCUUUCAGGUGAGUGUCAGUUGCGAGAUGAACAAUGAGAAGACACCACGUGUGACGGAGGACACAGGAGCCAGCACAGAGACACAAGUGUCUGCCAUGUGUGAGAAGAGUGAGCAGUAGAGUGUAACUGGAGCAGGGAAGAUUAUGGGAACACCGGCUAAAGAGAAGUUUGGGGAGGUCAGAUGGAACUAAGUUGCCAAGGCCCUUGUAAUUACUGGCAAGUGAUCUGAAUUAAAAUCCUCUGGACCAGCAUUUUUCAAACUACAACUAUAAGGACAAUGCCCACACAAGAAGUUCUGCAUUUGUUUAUUUUUUACAUCUUGAGGAUGUUUGGGUAGGAUUUAUUUUAAGAAAAAAAUGAGUUUCAUUUCUUUUCUUAAGAUUUAUUUUCAUCUGAAAGAGCUACAACGAGGAGAAGAGAGAGAGAGAGAGAGAGAGAGAGAGAGAUCUUGCAUACACUGGUCCACUCCCCAAAUGACCACAAGAGUCAGGCUGAAGCUAGGGGCCAGGAGACCCAUCCAGGUCUGCAGCAUGUGUGGCAGGGGCCCAAGCACCUGGGCCAUCCUCUGCUGCUUUCCCAGGCACAUCACCAGGGAUCUGGAUCAGAAGUGGAGCAAUUGGGACUUGAACUGGUAUCCACAUGGGAUGCUGCUGUCAUAGGUGGUGACUUCACUCAUCAUGCCACAAUGCCAGCCUCAAGUUUCAUUUCUAAAAGUCAUAUUUAAAGAAAAUCCACAAUAGCAAAUUGAAGAACAGUACAGCCUUUUAGGAAUGAGAAUGAGGUUGCUCCAUGUGCACAUUAGAAAGAUUAAUAUGAAAAAAAAAAAGAGAGAGAGAAGAAAAGAAAGGAAGGUUAAGAUGGUGACAAGGAGGGGCUAGUGCUGUGGCACAGCAGGUUAAGCCACUGUCCACAGCGCUGGAAUCCCAUUUGGCUGCCGGUUCAAGUCUCAGCUGCUCCACUUCCAAUCCAACUCCUUGCUAAUGUAACUGGGAAAGCAGUAGAAAAUGGCCCAAGUGCUUGGGUUCCUGCCACCCACAUGGGAGACCCGGAAGAAGUUCCUGGCUCCUGGUUUCAGCCUGGUACAGCCCUGGUCAUUGCAGGCAUUUGGAGAGUGAAC